rnacentral:piRNA from 1 species
UGAGAUGUGUUCUAACGAAGUUCUUCUAGGA